GCGGUCGAAGAUCGUGGCCCCGCACACUGCUCAGUAACACGUAGUCAACCUACCCUUGGGACGGGGACAAUCUCGGGAAACUGAGGCUAAUACCCGAUAGGUGAGGGACGCUGGGAUGCCUCCUCGCCCAAAGCUCCGGCGCCCAAGGAUGGGACUGCGGUCUAUCAGGCUGUUGGUGGUGUAACGGACCACCAAACCUACGACGGGUACGGGCGAUGGGAGUCGAAGCCCGGAGAUGGGGACUGAGACAAGGCCCCAGGCCCUACGGGGCGCAGCAGGCGCGAAAACUCCGCAAUGCGCGCAAGCGUGACGGGGGGAUCCCAAGUGCCGUUGGUCUUUCGAUCGACGGUUUUUAGGAAGUCUAAGAAGCUUCCAGAAUAAGGGCUGGGCAAGACUGGUGCCAGCCGCCGCGGUAACACCAGCAGCCCAAGUGGUGGCCACGAUUAUUGGGCCUAAAGCGCUCGUAGCCGGAUCAGCAAGUCCCUUGUGAAAUCGGGCCGCCUAACGGUUCGGCGUGCAAGGGAUACUGUUGGUCUUGAGGCCGGGAGAGGUCGGAGGUACUCCUGGGGUAGCGGUGAAAUGCUCUAAUCCUAGGGGGACCACCAGUGGCGAAGGCGUCCGACCAGAACGGACCUGACGGUGAGGGGCGAAGGCUAGGGGAGCGAACGGGAUUAGAUACCCCGGUAGUCCUAGCUGUAAAGCAUGCGGGCCAGGUGUCUAGCGCUCCU
rnacentral:rRNA from 1 species